UGUAAUAGUUUCUUGGAAAUUCCCGCCGAAAGUCAUGAUUAAGAAAAAGUGAUAAGAGAAUUAAUUAAUUUCUUUCCUCAAUAUACAAUGUUUCUACAUUGAUGAAAAUUCGUAGAAUGCAAAAAUAAAUGUUGAAAUAUAAACAAAUAGUACUAUAUUGUGAACAUGUUGCAAAUGGUAUAUAAAAUGUAGGAAUUUGUAAAUCGAAUCACAGUUGAUCCAAGUCUUCAAUCGUCUUUGCAAUAUAGAACAGAAGAAAAUCCAAAUAAAAAAUGGCAGUUUACAAAUUCUUACUUGCACUUUUGGCAACAAUUCUAAUAUUCAUGGCUCCUGUUAUCAAUGCCAAAUGUAAAGGAAAUGGAACUCCAUGCCAACCUAAUGGAAAGACAAAUUGUUGUACAGGAUUUUGUUAUAAACAAGUAGGAUGGAAAAAAGGUCAUUGCGCCAAUCGUUAAGUUACAUAAUUUCAACUUAUAAAAUUAUCCACUCUUGAAUUUGGAUUUCAUUAUAUUAUAAUUAUAUGUAUAUAUAUAUAGCUAUAAACAAUCUUGAUUUUUGAUCAAGAAUAUAGUGUGCAAUGUAAAUUGAAAAAAAAAAUCAAUUAUUUUAAUGCUCCAAAAGUACUAAUAUAUUUCCAUUUUUACCCUCA